rnacentral:rRNA from 1 species
AUAGGACAUGCAAGUCGAACGGGGCCAGGUUUGUAGCAAUACAAACUUGGUUCAGUGGCGCACGGGUGCGUAACACGUGAGCAAUCUGCCGGGAAGUGGGGGAUAGCUCGCCGAAAGGCGAAUUAAUACCGCAUGUGGCCAUUCUUCGAGUGGAGGAAAAGCCAAAGCUGCAAUGCGCUUCCUGAUGAGCUCGCGGCCUAUCAGCUAGAUGGCGGGAUAACGGCCCACCAUGGCUAUGACGGGUAGCUGGUCUGAGAGGACGACCAGCCACACUGGAACUGAGACACGGUCCAGACACCUACGGGUGGCAGCAGUCGAGAAUUUUUCACAAUGGGGGCAACCCUGAUGGAGCGACGCCGCGUGGAGGAUGAAGGCCUUCGGGUUGUAAACUCCUGUCAUGCGGGAACAAGCAAGUGAUAGUACCGCAAGAGGAAGAGACGGCUAACUCUGUGCCAGCAGCCGCGGUAAUACAGAGGUCUCAAGCGUUGUUCGGAUUCAUUGGGCGUAAAGGGUGCGUAGGUGGUGGCGCAAGUCUGGUGUGAAAUCUCGGAGCUCAACUCCGAAAUUGCACCGGAUACUGCGUGACUCGAGGACUGUAGAGGAGAUCGGAAUUCACGGUGUAGCAGUGAAAUGCGUAGAUAUCAAGCGGAACACCAGUGGCGAAGGCGAGUCCCUGGACAACACCUGACACUGAGGCACGAAAGCUAGGGGAGCAAACAGGAUUAGAUACCCUGGUAGUCCUAGCUGUAAACGGUGCUUGCUUGCUGUAAAAGGAAUCGACCCCUUUUGUGGCGCAGCCAACGCGAUAAGCAAGCCGCCUGGGAAGUACGGUCGCAAGAUUAAAACUCAAAGAAAUUGACGGGGGCCUGCACAAGCGGUGGAGUAUGUGGCUUAAUUCGAUGCAACGCGAAGAACCUUACCUGGCCUUGACAUGUACGUAGUAGAAGGAUGAAAGUCUGACGAGGUAGCAAUACCAGCGUACACAGGUGCUGCAUGGCUGUCGUCAGCUCGUGUCGUGAGAUGUUGGGUUAAGUCCCGCAACGAGCGCAACCCCUAUGUCCUGUUGCAAUUCCAACGAGAGUUGGGAGCACUCUGGACAGACUGCCUCGCUUAAACGAGGAAGAAGGUGGGGAUGACGUCAAGUCAGUAUGGCCCUUACGGCCAGGGCUGCACACGUACUACAAUGCCCGGCACAAAGGGAAGCAAGACCGCGAGGUGGAGCAAAUCUCCGAAAACCGGGCCCAGUUCAGAUUGAAGUCUGCAACUCGACUUCAUGAAGCUGGAAUCGCUAGUAAUGGCGCAUCAGCUACGGCGCCGUGAAUACAUUCCCAAGG